rnacentral:rRNA from 1 species
UACGGGGGGGGCAAGCGUUGUUCGGAAUUACUGGGCGUAAAGGGCUCGUAGGCGGCCAACUAAGUCGGAUGUGAAAUCCCCAGGCUUAACCUGGGAACUGCAUCCGAUACUGGAUGGCUUGAAUUCGGGAGAGGGAUGCAGAAUUCCAGGUGUAGCGGUGAAAUUCGUAGAUAUUGGGAAGAACACCGGUGGCGAAGGCGGUUCUCUGGGCCUGUACUGACGCUGAGGAGCGAAAGCGUGGGGAGCGAACAGG